UACGAAGGGGGCUAGCGUUGCUCGGAAUUACUGGGCUUAAAGGGCGCGUAGGCGGGCAAGCAAGUCCGGGGUGAAAGCCCCCAGCUCAACUGGGGAAGUGCCUUGGAAACUGCUUGUCUCGAGGGAGGUAGGGGCCUGUGGAACUUCGGGUGGAGCGGUGAAAUGCGUUGAUAUCCGAAGGAACGCCGGUGGCGAAAGCGACGGGCUGGACCUCUUCUGACGCUGAGGCGCGAAAGCUAGGGGAGCAAACGGG
rnacentral:rRNA from 1 species